rnacentral:rRNA from 1 species
UACGUAGGGUGCGAGCGUUGUCCGGAAUUAUUGGGCGUAAAGAGCUCGUAGGCGGUGUGUCACGUCGGCCGUGAAAACCCGUGGCUCAACCAUGUGGUCUGCAGUCGAUACGGGCAGGCUAGAAUUCGGUAGGGGAGACUGGAAUUCCUGGUGUAGCGGUGAAAUGCGCAGAUAUCAGGAGGAACACCGGUGGCGAAGGCGGGUCUCUGGACAGUUCCUGACGCUGAGGCACGAAGGUCAGGGGAGCAAACGGG